UACGUAGGGUGCAAGCGUUGUCCGGAAUUAUUGGGCGUAAAGGGCUCGUAGGCGGUUUGUCGCGUCGGGAGUGAAAUCCACUGGCUUAACUGGUGGCUUGCUUUCGAUACGGGCAGACUGGAGGUAUGCAGGGGAGAACGGAAUUCCUGGUGUAGCGGUGAAAAUGCGCAGAUAUCAGGAGGAACACCGGUGGCGAAGGCGGGUCUCUGGGCAGUAACUGACGCUGAGGCGCGAAA
rnacentral:rRNA from 1 species